rnacentral:rRNA from 1 species
GUUGUAUGGUUAAGUGACUAAGCGUACACGGUGGAUGCCUUGGCAGUCAGAGGCGAUGAAAGACGUAGUAACUUGCGAUAAGCCCAGAUUAGGUAGUAACAACCAUUUGAGUCUGGGAUUUCUGAAUGGGGAAACCCACUUACAUAAGUAAGUAUCAUUAACUGAAUACAUAGGUUAAUGAGGCGAACCGGGGGAACUGAAACAUCUAAGUACCCCGAGGAAAAGAAAUCAACCGAGAUUCCGAAAGUAGCGGCGAGCGAAAUUGGACUAGCCCUUAAGCUUUACACGCGUUAGACGAACGGUCUGGAAAGUCCGACGAUACAGGGUGAUAGUCCCGUAGUUGACGACGUGUGUUCAGUGAAAUCGAGUAGGGCGGGACACGUGAUAUCCUGUCUGAAUAUGGGGGGACCAUCCUCCAAGGCUAAAUACUACUGACUGACCGAUAGUGAACCAGUACCGUGAGGGAAAGGCGAAAAGAACCCCUGUGAGGGGAGUGAAAUAGAACCUGAAACCGUGUACGUACAAGCAGUAGGAGCAGGCUUGUCCUGUGACUGCGUACCUUUUGUAUAAUGGGUCAGCGACUUAUAUUCAGUGGCAAGGUUAACCAUCUAGGGGAGCCGUAGGGAAACCGAGUCUUAACUGGGCGUUCAGUCUCUGGAUAUAGACCCGAAACCAGGUGAUCUAGCCAUGGGCAGGUUGAAGGUUGAGUAACAUCAACUGGAGGACCGAACCGACUAAUGUUGAAAAAUUAGCGGAUGACUUGUGGCUAGGGGUGAAAGGCCAAUCAAACCUGGAGAUAGCUGGUUCUCCCCGAAAGCUAUUUAGGUAGCGCCUCGGACGAAUACUACUGGGGGUAGAGCACUGUUAAGGCUAGGGGGUCAUCCCGACUUACCAACCCUUUGCAAACUCCGAAUACCAGUAAGUACUAUCCGGGAGACACACGGCGGGUGCUAACGUCCGUCGUGGAGAGGGAAACAACCCAGACCGCCAGCUAAGGUCCCAAAUUACUACUAAGUGGGAAACGAUGUGGGAAGGCUCAGACAGCCAGGAUGUUGGCUUAGAAGCAGCCAUCAUUUAAAGAAAGCGUAAUAGCUCACUGGUCGAGUCGGCCUGCGCGGAAGAUGUAACGGGGCUAAGUAGUAAACCGAAGCUGCGGCAAUGUGCUUUUGCACAUUGGGUAGGGGAGCGUUCUGUAAGCGGUUGAAGGUGUGUGGUAACGCAUGCUGGACGUAUCAGAAGUGCGAAUGCUGACAUGAGUAACGAUAAAGGGGGUGAAAAACCUCCUCGCCGGAAGACCAAGGGUUCCUGUCCAACGUUAAUCGGGGCAGGGUAAGUCGACCCCUAAGGCGAGGCCGAAAGGCGUAGUCGAUGGGAAACGGGUUAAUAUUCCCGUACUUCUUACAAUUGCGAUGGGGGGACGGAGAAGGCUAGGUGGGCCUGGCGACGGUUGUCCAGGUUCAAGUGCGUAGGCUUAAGAGUUAGGUAAAUCCGGCUCUUUUUAAGGCUGAGACACGACGUCGAGCAUCUACGGAUGUGAAGUCAUUGAUGCCAUGCUUCCAGGAAAAGCCUCUAAGCUUCAGAUUGUAAGGAAUCGUACCCCAAACCGACACAGGUGGUCGGGUAGAGAAUACCAAGGCGCUUGAGAGAACUCGGGUGAAGGAACUAGGCAAAAUGGUACCGUAACUUCGGGAGAAGGUACGCUCUUGAUGGUGAAGUCCCUUGCGGAUGGAGCUGACGAGAGUCGCAGAUACCAGGUGGCUGCAACUGUUUAUUAAAAACACAGCACUGUGCAAAAUCGUAAGAUGACGUAUACGGUGUGACGCCUGCCCGGUGCCGGAAGGUUAAUUGAUGGGGUUAGACUUCGGUCGAAGCUCUUGAUCGAAGCCCCGGUAAACGGCGGCCGUAACUAUAACGGUCCUAAGGUAGCGAAAUUCCUUGUCGGGUAAGUUCCGACCUGCACGAAUGGCGUAAUGAUGGCCACGCUGUCUCCACCCGAGACUCAGUGAAAUUGAAAUCGCUGUGAAGAUGCAGUGUACCCGCGGCUAGACGGAAAGACCCCGUGAACCUUUACUACAGCUUGGCACUGAACAUUGACCCUACAUGUGUAGGAUAGGUGGGAGGCUUUGAAGCACGUACGCCAGUAUGUGUGGAGCCGUCCUUGAAAUACCACCCUUGUAGUGUUGAUGUUCUAACGUCGACCCCUAAUCGGGGUUGCGGACAGUGCCUGGUGGGUAGUUUGACUGGGGCGGUCUCCUCCCAAAGAGUAACGGAGGAGCACGAAGGUGGGCUAAUCACGGUUGGACAUCGUGAGGUUAGUGCAAUGGCAUAAGCCCGCUUGACUGCGAGAAUGACAAUUCGAGCAGGUGCGAAAGCAGGUCAUAGUGAUCCGGUGGUUCUGAAUGGAAGGGCCAUCGCUCAACGGAUAAAAGGUACUCCGGGGAUAACAGGCUGAUACCGCCCAAGAGUUCAUAUCGACGGCGGUGUUUGGCACCUCGAUGUCGGCUCAUCACAUCCUGGGGCUGAAGUCGGUCCCAAGGGUAUGGCUGUUCGCCAUUUAAAGUGGUACGCGAGCUGGGUUUAGAACGUCGUGAGACAGUUCGGUCCCUAUCUGCCGUGGGCGUUGGAAGAUUGAAGGGGGCUGCUCCUAGUACGAGAGGACCGGAGUGGACGAACCUCUGGUGUUCGGGUUGUGUCGCCAGACGCAUUGCCCGGUAGCUAAGUUCGGAAUCGAUAACCGCUGAAAGCAUCUAAGCGGGAAGCGAGCCCUGAGAUGAGUCUUCCCUGAUACUUUAAGUAUCCUAAAGGGUUGUCGGAGACUACGACGUUGAUAGGUCAGGUGUGUAAGUGCUGUGAGGCAUUGAGCUAACUGAUACUAAUUGCCCGUGAGGCUUAACCAUACAACACCCAAGGGGUUU